UACAGAGGUCUCAAGCGUUGUUCGGAUUCAUUGGGCGUAAAGGGUGCGUAGGCGGCGCGGUAAGUCGGGUGUGAAAUCUCGGAGCUUAACUCCGAAACUGCAUUCGAUACUGCCGUGCUUGAGGACUGGAGAGGAGACUGGAAUUUACGGUGUAGCGGUGAAAUGCGUAGAUAUCGUAAGGAAGACCAGUGGCGAAGGCGGGUCUCUGGACAGUUCCUGACGCUGAGGCGCGAAGGCCAGGGGGAGCAAACGGGGAUU
rnacentral:rRNA from 1 species